rnacentral:rRNA from 1 species
AACGAACGCUGGCGGCGUGCCUAACACAUGCAAGUCGAACGCGAAAGGGGGCAACCCCCGGUAGCGUGGCAGACGGGUGAGUAACACGUGGGUAACCUACCCGGAGGUGGGGGAUAACCCUUCGAAAGGAGGGCUAAUACCGCAUGACAUCGCGGGGACUUCGGUCCUUGCGAUCAAGACUGGCCUCUGUUUACAAGCUAGCGCCACCGGAUGGGCCCGCGCCCCAUUAGCUAGUUGGUGAGGUAACGGCUCACCAAGGCGACGAUGGGUAGCCGGCCUGAGAGGGCGAUCGGCCACACUGGAACUGCGACACGGUCCAGACUCCUACGGGAGGCAGCAGUGAGGAAUAUUGCGCAAUGGGCGAAAGCCUGACGCAGCGACGCCGCGUGGAGGAUGAAGGUCUUCGGAUUGUAAACUCCUGUCGAGUGGGACGAAUGCCGUGAGGGUGAAUACCCCUCGCGGUUGACGGUACCGCUGGAGGAAGCCCCGGCUAACUCCGUGCCAGCAGCCGCCGUAAAAC